GCUGGCAUGGCUCAGUGGUUAGAGCGUUGGCCUGUGGACCAAAGGGUCAUGGGUUCGAUUCCCAGUCAAGGCA
rfam:Myotis brandtii contig259231, whole genome shotgun sequence.